GACGAACGCUGGCGGCGUGCUUAACACAUGCAAGUCGAACGGAAAGGCCCUGCUUUUGUGGGGUGCUCGAGUGGCGAACGGGUGAGUAACACGUGAGUAACCUGCCCUUGACUUUGGGAUAACUUCAGGAAACUGGGGCUAAUACCGGAUAGGAGCUCCUGCUGCAUGGUGGGGGUUGGAAAGUUUCGGCAGUUGGGGAUGGACUCGCGGCUUAUCAGCUUGUUGGUGGGGUAGUGGCUUACCAAGGCUUAGACGGGUAGCCGGCCUGAGAGGGUGACCGGCCACAUUGGGACUGAGAUACGGCCCAGACUCCUACGGGAGGCAGCAGUGGGGAAUAUUGCACAAUGGGCGGAAGCCUGAUGCAGCAACGCCGCGUGCGGGAUGACGGCCUUCGGGUUGUAAACCGCUUUCGCCUGUGACGAAGCGUGAGUGACGGUAAUGGGUAAAGAAGCACCGGCUAACUACGUG
rnacentral:rRNA from 1 species